GUACACUCCUACGGGAGGCAGCAGUGGGGAAUAUUGGACAAUGGGCGCAAGCCUGAUCCAGCCAUGCCGCGUGAGUGAUGAAGGCCCUAGGGUUGUAAAGCUCUUUCACCGGUGAAGAUAAUGACGGUAACCGGAGAAGAAGCCCCGGCUAACUUCGUGCCAGCAGCCGCGGUAAUACGAAGGGGGCUAGCGUUGUUCGGAUUUACUGGGCGUAAAGCGCACGUAGGCGGACUAUUAAGUCAGGGGUGAAAUCCCGGGGCUCAACCCCGGAACUGCCUUUGAUACUGGUAGUCUUGAGUUCGAGAGAGGUGAGUGGAAUUCCGAGUGUAGAGGUGAAAUUCGUAGAUAUUCGGAGGAACACCAGUGGCGAAGGCGGCUCACUGGCUCGAUACUGACGCUGAGGUGCGAAAGCGUGGGGAGCAAACAGGAUUAGAAACCCCAGUAGUCCCAUG
rnacentral:rRNA from 1 species